AACGAACGCUGGCGGCAUGCCUAACACAUGCAAGUCGAACGAGACCUUCGGGUCUAGUGGCGCACGGGUGCGUAACGCGUGGGAACCUGCCCUUAGGUUCGGAAUAACUCCCCGAAAGGGGGGCUAAUACCGGAUAAUGUCUUCGGACCAAAGAUUUAUCGCCUUUGGAUGGGCCCGCGUUGGAUUAGCUAGUUGGUAGGGUAAAGGCCUACCAAGGCGACGAUCCAUAGCUGGUCUGAGAGGAUGAUCAGCCACACUGGGACUGAGACACGGCCCAGACUCCUACGGGAGGCAGCAGUGGGGAAUAUUGGACAAUGGGCGAAAGCCUGAUCCAGCAAUGCCGCGUGAGUGAUGAAGGCCUUAGGGUUGUAAAGCUCUUUUACCCGGGAUGAUAAUGACAGUACCGGGAGAAUAAGCUCCGGCUAACUCCGUG
rnacentral:rRNA from 1 species